CCUUAUAGAAAUUCCGUUGACUUUCAGACAAUGGGCUCUUCCUGACAUGUGAUCUUUCUGGGAGCUGCUGGAGCUGGCUCUUCCCCUGCUAUUAGCCAUCCAUCAGCAUUCCUGUCAGGGACACUUCUGGCUCCUGAUCAGCAGGAAGAAAUGCAGGCUGCAGAGGAAUGCCAGGGAAAGAAAAUGGAAUUUAUGGAGUACAUCACUAGGAGUGGCAAAUGAAAGAUAUGACUUAAAACGACUCUGGAAACUUCGCCUUCAAGUGCUCCACAGUUAACUGGUCAUUGUUGUCUGACCGUGCGGGUCACCCACAAAUAUAAAGCAUGUUCCUAAGUUGGCAUUUUGCAGAGAACUAGAAAUAAACACCUGCCCUGUGUUGACCCCUUUGACAAGCAAGGUCAGAUGUGCCAGCCUCCCUCAUGCUUGGGUACUGUCCAGCAGGGGGAGUGCUGGAGUCCAGCUCCAAGAGUUCAGGUCCCUAAGAGGAGGCAUGGAGUCGGUGAGGGGAAGAAGGAGACUGACACGAUCUGAGUGCUAAUCCGGAUGGCUGCCGGUUUAUUGAAAAAGGCCACACCUUUUAUAGUCAAUAGUUUAGCCACAGACAAGAUUGAAAGCAGCUCAAUAAUUCAGGGGCUGAAAGCAGGCAUUAACUUCAUUACAGACCAAAGUCGUAAGUUCAGCAAGUACUUGAAAGCCUAUUGUCCUCAAAGGUUCAGUAACCCCACCGGAUGCCCUCCUACAUCAAUGGAAGGGCCACAAGUUCCUCCUGCCAGAGGUGGCUCUAUGAGUGAAAUAUGACCAUGUUCACAUCACCACACAUGGUAUUUCUAUGUGCCACCUUGGGCAGGCUAUGGUGCCGGAUAUCGGAGUCAAACACCAUUCUUGAUGUUGCUGGGAAGAGGGAUUUGACAAUUAAAUCAAGAGAUGCUGCAUAAGGCAGAUGACCUGCAUGCCGAUGGAGCACAGGAAAUCUCGGAGAUCCUAAAAUCUGGACUCAUAGCCCACUUCCAUCUCCGCUUUUCCUGGUACUCCCUCCUGCCUGCAACAGCCUGAGAUGCCGGAACUCAACUUGCCGCUUUUCCAACUAAGUAUUUCUGGAACUCACUGAUCUGCCUAUUCGCUACAAUCCGGUAAGAAACCCAAACCGUUCCUAUGGGGCAGACCCAGCGCUGUUCACUCUGGGUCCAUUUUUCGGUUUCGGGCCGGGUGCUCUCAGACAGGGCAAUCUGUGCAUUUUUUGGCCUUGCCCACGAGAAAUACAUUUUUACGGGAUCUUUCGGUUACUGGCAGCGAAUAGGUAAAUGAGCGGAGUUCUGCCUCCCAGUGGGAACUUUCUUUCACCUGGGAAUGUCCCUCAUUGUUCUGUUUGUUCUUUCUCUGACUGUUUCUUCUUGGUUGGCAAUGUCUGCUUGAGAUGCUCUGAGAGUUUUGUUUGUCUGCUGGUUUUCAUUUUUCCACAUGAAUGAGGUUUGAAACUUUUCUGGCAAUUGAGAAUGUGCUUACGGGGGUCGCCACCUCGACCUCGUGUGCUAACCUGGGGGCCGCCAUCUUGGUCAUAACCAGGUGACCUGGCUUAGGCCUACCCACUCAGUUCAAUGACUUCCACCGGCAAGCACUGCCACCUGACAUCUUGCUUUUUAUUUCUUUCACUUGUUGGGUGCAUUUCCUAAAGGUCAGGCAUGGGAUCCCGCUCCAGGAGCGGUGCUUUUUUGCUUUUUUCACUUCAG
ensembl:lncRNA